UAUGACCUCAAGCUCCCAGUUGAGGAUAAAAUCAGGAUCAUUGCACAGAAGAUCUAUGGAGCAGAUGACAUUGAAUUACUUCCCGAAGCUCAACACAAAGCUGAAGUCUACACGAAGCAGGGCUUUGGGAAUCUCCCCAUCUGCAUGGCUAAAACACACUUGUCUUUGUCUCACAACCCAGAGCAAAAAGGUGUCCCUACAGGCUUCAUUCUGCCCAUUCGCGACAUCCGCGCCAGCGUUGGGGCUGGUUUUCUGUACCCCUUAGUAGGAACGGUAAGUGCAUGCUGCAAGGGAGUAGUGGGCGCAUCUGCACUUCUCGUCUGAAGUGUGUUGCCGAAACCAUCAAGCAAAUGCCAAGUGAGCAGAGUUCACUGCCCAGAAGAAAAUUGGAAUCGGGCCUAUUAUGAUUGCUGUGGAUCAUAAGCUAUAAAGCAGGAGCUAUAUAGCUCUUGCUGUGGACCAUCUUGGUGUCAAAUCAAGAAUGAUGCCAGGACUACUCAUACUGAAUAAAAAAUUCUGUUUCCCAGGGACAGUAUGCUCUUCACUGAAUCUAGGAUGAGCCCAGUUGAUA
rnacentral:lncRNA from 1 species